rnacentral:rRNA from 1 species
ACACUCCUGCGGGAGGCAGCAGUGGGGAAUAUUGGACAAUGGGCGCAAGCCUGAUCCAGCCAUGCCGCGUGAGUGAUGAAGGCCCUAGGGUUGUAAAGCUCUUUCACCGGUGAAGAUAAUGACGGUAACCGGAGAAGAAGCCCCGGCUAACUGCGUGCCAGCAGCCGCGGUAAUACGAAGGGGGCUAGCGUUGUUCGGAUUUACUGGGCGUAAAGCGCACGUAGGCGGACUAUUAAGUCAGGGGUGAAAUCCCGGGGCUCAACCCCGGAACUGCCUUUGAUACUGGUAGUCUUGAGUUCGAGAGAGGUGAGUGGAAUUCCGAGUGUAGAGGUGAAAUUCGUAGAUAUUCGGAGGAACACCAGUGGCGAAGGCGGCUCACUGGCUCGAUACUGACGCUGAGGUGCGAAAGCGUUGGGAGCAAACAGGAUUAGAUACCCUAGUAGUCCCA